AUACUUCAACCCUCCUCUUUUCUAGUGAAAGAGAAGGUGCUUGGUUUCUGAGCGUUUUGCUGGCCUCACGGUCGAGCUCGCUCGUAAUGCAUUAGCAUCCGCAAUCGAACUUCGGAUUGACUUGGCGUAAUAGACUAUUCGCUGAGGAAUUCUAAUCUUCGGAUUAGAGCCGGGUUAGGUUAAAGGAAGCUUCUAAUCCUAAUGUCUAUAUUUUAAGAU
rnacentral:misc_RNA from 1 species